ensembl:lncRNA
CUGGACAUCACCCUCUGCAACUGGAUCCUGGACUUUCUGACGGGCAGACCACAGGCUGUGAGGAUUGACAACAACACCUCCUCCACACUGACUCAGUGGCCCCAGGGGUGUGUCCUCAGUCCUCUGCUGUACUCCCUGUUCACCCACGACUGCGUGACUGUGCAUGACACCAAUUCCAUCAUCAAGUUUGCUGACGACACCAUGGUUAUAUGCCUGAUAACCAACAAUGAAGAGUCAGCCUAUAGGGAGGAGGCUGAAGUCCGUGCUGAGAGUAGCGACCAGAAUGGAGAGGACUACAACUCAACAACAGACAACAGAGAGGUCAAAGACUACAACUCAAUAACAGACAACAGAGAGGUCAAAGACUACAACUCAACAACAGACAACAGAGAAGUGAAAGACUACAACUCAACAACAGACAACAGAGAAGUGAAAGACUACAACUCAACAACAGACAACAGAGAAGUGAAAGACUACAACUCAACAACAGACAACAGAGAUUCUCCAGCCACACACAUAAACCACCUACAGGACGUCCCAGGGAGGACCACUGAGGAAGAGGAGAAGAGGAGGAGAGACGAAGAUGAGGAUCUAGAGUUCCCUCAUGACUUCCUGCCCAGUAUAGACCUCAGCCUUGAACUCCACUGGGGAACUUCACUUGGACCCUUCCAGCGUCUGGAGCCUUUGGAGUCUCCUGUAGCAGAGUUUCAUACCCUCUCUGAAGAGACAGCCACCCCUCUGGGCCAGAGAGAAGACACACUAGCGAAGGAAGAGGAGCUACCAGGACAGGAGAAGACCAUUCCUCUACCAGGACAGGAGCUACCAGGACAGGAGAAGACCAUUCCUCUACCAGGACAGGAGAAGACCAUUCCUCUACCAGGACAGGAGCUACCAGGACAGGAGAAGACCAUUCCUCUACCAGGACAGGAGCUACCAGGACAGGAGAAGACCUUUCCUCUACCAGGACAGGAGCUACCAGGACAGGAGAAGACCUUUCCUCUACCAGGACAGGAG